GGGUGUAGAGCUCAGUGGUAGAGUAUAUGCUUAGUAUGCAUCAGGUUCUCGGUUCAAUCCCCAGUACCUCCA
rnacentral:tRNA from 1 species